CUUCUACAUUAUAUAAAUGUUUCCUUAUUGCAGAUAACUUAAAGUACAACUUUGCAGACACCAUAGAUCAACAUAAAGAAUUGGAAAAGUAAACAUUCUGGGACAUAACAAACAUGCAAUACACCUUUGUCAUCAAACAAUAUCUUCAUCACAUAUUAUGUGGCACCCAUAUAUUCUGCAGUAUUUUAUCAUUUUAGAAGAUAAAACAAAUACCUUCAGAUGGAACUAUAUAAUAAUAUCAGAUGCCGGGCAAGAAGUUGAUUAAACACUGGGGGCCACUUAGACUAACAUCAAUAUAGAUAACUUUUAGAUGUAUUCUGGUGCAGAUUAUGCCCUUCUGUCUAUGUUGGACAAAAGAUAAUUAUCACUUGUCUGUGGAAGUUAUAAUUUGACCAUAAAUUAAUAUAAUUCACAUAGA